CGCAUCUGUGCAUGCAGCAUAUCAAUAAGCGGAGGAAAAGAAACUAACAAGGAUUCCCCUAGUAACGGCGAGUGAAGCGGGAGGAGCUCAAAUUUGAAAUCUUAAAGGGUUUCCCUUUACGAAUUGUAGUUUAAAGAAGUGUUUUCUGUUGAGGUUUUGGUAAAAGUUCUUUGGAAUAGGACAUCAUAGAGGGUGAGAAUCCCGUAUUUGACCUUUACUUUCAACUUUGUGAUACACUUUCAAAGAGUCGGAUUGUUUGGGAAUGCAGUCCAAAAUGGGUGGUAAAUUUCAUCUAAAGCUAAAUAUUGGCGAGAGACCGAUAGCGAACAAGUACCGUGAGGGAAAGAUGAAAAGAACUUUGAAAAGAGAGUUAAACAGUACGUGAAAUUGUCAAAAGGGAAGCGUUUGACACCAGUGUUGUUUUUCUGAAAAUCAAUUAAAGAACUGUUUAUGCUAAGUUGUUUAGACUUUAUCAGCUAUCUGUUUAGUUUUGAGCUUUUCUUUAAUGCACUUUUCAGUUAACAAGUCAACAUCAAUUUCUUUUGCUGUAAAAAAGCUUGAGGAAGGUGGCUUGAGAUUCGUCUUAAGUGUUUAUAGCCUCUUGCCUAUGCAGUCGGAGAGAUUGAGGUCUGCAGCGUAGAUCCUUCGGGGCUAAAUGCAUUUGUGCUAAGUUAUAGCAUUUCAUAGACAACUUGUUGACUAUGAUUUGUCUUGUAGCUUACUCGCUUAUGUUAUUUUACCUACGCUUAGGAUGUUGACAGCAGUAUAGACUGU
rnacentral:rRNA from 1 species